GAUGAACGCUAGCUACAGGCUUAACACAUGCAAGUCGAGGGACCGGCGCACGGGUGAGUAACACGUAUCCAACCUGCCCUUUACUCGGGGAUAGCCUUUCGAAAGAAAGAUUAAUACCCGAUAUAAAGGAUGGGGAUGCGUUCCAUUAGGUUGUUGGUAAGGUAACGGCUCAACAAGCCUUCUAUGGAUAGGGGUUCUGAGCGGAAGGUCCCCCACAUGGGAACUGAGACACUGUCCAAACUGCGAGGGGAGGGAGCAGUGAGGAAUAUAGGUCAAUGGGCGCUAGCCUGAACCAGCCAAGUAGCGUGAAGGAUGAAUGGUUAUUGGUCGUAAACUUCUGUGAUAUAAGAAGAUUUAUUAUAUGAAGAAGGAUCGGCUAACUCCGUGCCAGCAGCCGCGGUAAUAC
rnacentral:rRNA from 1 species